rnacentral:lncRNA from 1 species
CCCAGAUCCUGUACCCCCAUAAGAGAUAUCUUACCAAGCUGUUCUGUCAUUUUUUUUUUCAUUUUUUGGCCUCUCCCAUGCUCUUUUCCAAUGAGGCACCAGAGAGACAGAUGAACAGGAUACUGGCCCUGCUCUCACGGAGCUCUGGAAGUAACGGAGAGGACAGAUUCAUGCGCAGCCAAUCACAGACCUGGGAACGCCGUUACAGUGGCAAAGAAUAAGCUAUCGAUGUUACAGCGACCCUCCAAGGAGCCCAAGAAUUUCCUGAGUUGGAGAAGAGGGGUCAGGGCAGGGGGAUUCUAGAGGGGUGCGUGGGAGAGUAAACCUCACGUCCAGCAGAGACCGAAGGGGGCUCCUCGCAGGGAGGGAUGGGGGGUGAGAGGCUGCAGAGGUUGCCUGGGGCCUGCUGGGACUUGACCUAGCUGACAGUGGGCACCAUUGAGAAAUGUGCAGUGGGAAGUGGCGGGGCCACGUUUGCAUUCUAGGAGGAUGUCCUGGCAGCCGGGGAGGGUGGUCUGCAGGGGCCAGAGUGGAGGCCGGAAGGCCAGCGAGGGGUUGUCAAAUGUGGCGUCCAAAGCAAUGCCUCCAACUGCCAGCGGAGAGAAGUCUCAUUAGCAAAAAGAAGGAGGAAUUGCUCCUGCCACUUAGACUGCAAAAAACCCAAGUUCAACAUAAAAUAAAAUAGACUUUUUAUUUUCUGAUUUUGCAUUUUCUAUUAUCUGUCCUUCUUUUGCUGUUCCGUGUCAUCUCCUUGUUUCCUCUCUGGUUUUCCAUGAGUUCUUUGCAUACUUUGUUUUCAAUUUUAAAAUGCAUAUCUUUCCGUAUAAAGUUAAUGGCCCUGCCUCCCUGCAGCUGGGGAGACCUGAGUUCAAAUCCCAGCUCUGCUGUUUGCCGCCUGCUGUUCCUUCUUUGUGAAAGGGGAGGUUUCAGUCCCUCUCCGAAAGGGGCAUGUGAAGAGGAGGUCAUGCCCAGCAGAUAUUUACGAGGAUGUCUAAGACAUGGGAACUAGGACGAUUGUUUUCAAUAUUAUGCUUCUUUAAAAGGCUGUUUUAGCUGUUUAAGCAAUCCAGGCAAAGAUAAGGUGCUGAGUUCUAUGAAGAGAACACAGAGAGAUUAAUUCCAGAGAUACGUCAGGGGUGAGGACGACCUCACCUAACAGGUGACUGUCAUGCCUGUGAGAAAAUACCUUUUCCAAAUGGUGCCGUCCACUUCUAUCUCUCCACGGAAGGAUGGUGAAGUCUUCCACCUGGAGCUCCUGAGAGAACAGUGGGCUUAGUGGAAACACCACACACCUGGCUGGGUGUUUUCAGGUGGAGACGCUGAGGGCUGUUUCUUUCCAGUCCUGGAAGACGCGGAAUUUCUUCUCGGCAGCUUUGCUCGGCCUGCGUCUGAGCGGUAAGUCCAGCCCUCCCUGCCACAUCUUUUGCAGGCUGAUUCUUAUUCAUCCUUCACUUCUCAGCUCCAAUCUCACCUUGGCAGUGAGGCCACAGCCAUCUGCCAAAGGGACCCGGGUCGCUCCUUCCCACAUCCUGUUUUAUUCAUUGUCUGAGUGGCGGCGUUCAUUUUCCUGUUUACUUGUGGACUGAUUCGUUUCGUCUUCCCUCCCUGGCAUGUGCACUGUGCACUACCGCAUCUUCAGCACCUAAAACAAUGCCUGCAACGCGGUGGACACUGAGGAAAUAUUGUUGGCUGGAUGAGGAAACUGAGACACAAAAAUGGGGGAUGACUUGCCCAGGAAGCUGGACCACAUCACACAACGUUACUAUUGUAAUACCUUUAUCAAGAGUACCUCACAUGGCAACAAUGGGAGAAAAAUCAUACAGCUGGCUGCGUCAGGGAGAAAAGGAAGGGUGCCCCGGAGGCCACGGGAGACCAAGACAAUCCCUCUGUGGCUCAGAGUCUGCAGGUAUUCACGAUUGUGAUGCAACCAGCCUCGGAGACACCCUGAGAAACGCCGCCUAAUGGAAUCCAUCCCUCGGGACAGAAGCCGCCGGUCUUCCCUGACCGCACCCACUCGCCCCACAGAGCACCCCCUCCUUGUCAAAGCCGGCGACUCUGCAGGCUUCUGGUGCAGACAAUGUGGCCACCAGAUGCACGGCACCCAGCUUGCGGGGAUGCCGGGCAAAUGUUAUUACAGCGAUAACAGUGAUUCUGCUUAGGAUAACAAUGAUGGAAAUCUGUAUUAAAUGACUUGAAACUGCUGAUGCCUUUCCUUUUCCCCAAAGAGAAGAAAGGGAUGCGAAUGUGUCACUUGAACUGGCUGCUGCGGUUCAUCUGGACUCCAUCGUUCCUGCCAUCAUCUUUAUUAGUAGCAUUGUUUUAAAAAAAUGAGUAAGUUUGAAACCACCAGGUGUUUUGAAUUUUUAUCUUGUUCACUUGCUUACAUGAGGAAAUUCAAAUGGAGACCAAUGCAUUAGUAAAAGCCCAGUGGAAGGAGAGUGCCCCUUCUCUCCCGGGUGGGGGGCUCCCUGCCCUCCCUGACAGGCUCCCCCUAGUUCUGGGUUCUGGCUGCAGUUCCAGCCCCGACCACCAGGAGUUGAUCUCGGGAGCGUUAUCUGCGCAGCUCCUUCCCAGUCCUCCUCUGAGUCCUCCGUGACUUCAAGCAGCCACACGCCUCCUUCUCCCUCCCUGUUAAUCCCCACCGAAAGCAGGCUUGGUGUGGCCGCUCCCCAGACUCACAGGCCCUUCCUGGUUAUUUCUGCAGAAUCCACUCUCCCUGUCAGUCUGGGAAAGAAAGCAGAGAGAGAAAAAGAGCUGUAGCGUCAAGGGGACUGCCAGAUCCCGCAGCAAUCCUCCGUGCUCCAGGGUCUCCUUCGGGCGCCUUGCAAUCUCAGCGCCAGCUACUGAACACCUAGAGUAUUGUUCAGUGGAGGAUGCCAAGGGAGGCCUCGAGCCUGAAUUAGCCCCGUGAAAGGGGUCUUGCUCCCCCGCUCAUACGCUGAGGUCCAGGGAGCAUAGGCAGCUUCCCCAGGGCGACCAUAAGGGCCCGCACGCAAUGUGGUGACCCCCUUUCCCUCUGUCGUUUGGCCACCUCAGCUAUUACAACAGGAAGCCAUUGGCCGGGCGCGGUGGCUCACGCCUGUAAUCCCAGCGCUUUGGGAGGCCUAGGCGGGCAGAUCACGAGGUCAGGAGAUCAAGACCACCCUGGCUAACACGGUGAAACCCCGUCUCUACUGAAAAAAAAAAAAAAAAAAAA